rnacentral:rRNA from 1 species
UACAGAGGUCCCGAGCGUUGUUCGGAUUCACUGGGCGUAAAGGGUGCGUAGGUGGUGAGGUAAGUCGGAUGUGAAAUCUCCGAGCUCAACUCGGAAAUGGCAUUGGAAACUACCUUGCUAGAGGGUUGGAGGGGGGACUGGAAUACUUGGUGUAGCAGUGAAAUGCGUAGAUAUCAAGUGGAACACCAGUGGCGAAGGCGAGUCCCUGGACAACACCUGACACUGAGGCACGAAAGCUAGGGGAGCGAACGGG